rnacentral:lncRNA from 1 species
ACUUCUGAUGGAUUGUUUCGCAAGACUUCUGUGCAAGCUAUAAAUCUGGGUGAGUUGCGUCUUGUGACUGAAAGCAGCAGACUGGAGGAAGUGCCAACAACGUUCCACAUCUGAGAAGCUGGCAUUGAGGUGAGCUGCAUACUUUUUAUGUGAAAGCUUUAAAUGCCUUCCUGGGUAGCUACUAUGAAAUGAAGUUGAAGAGGUUUUAGUUUGGGAUGAGAGCUACACCAUGUGUGUGUGGAUCUGAUAUCUGGCAUUUACAGUAGCUUGACGCACCCCUCAGGUAAUGAGAAGAGCACUACAGGAUAACCAUACCUAGUAAAGGGAGGGCUUGGAAGGAGACAUUGCUACAGAAAUUCCAAGGGGUGAAAUAAAAUAUUUAACAAGAGAAUCUUGAGACUAGAAUCUCUAUGUUGUCAGAAAUUAACUAGUUUAUUUAAUAAUAAUGUUAUUAUUGCUAGCAGCAGUAGUACAGAUAAGUCAAUAAACAUCAUCAAAGUCAUUGAAGUCAUAAAAUAGUGUUCUAGCAACCAAUAAAUUGCACUUUCAUUUAGAAAUUAACUGAAUGUUUCACUAGUUUUUUACAUACAAUAUUGUGAGUUGUGAACUGCUGUCAAAACAGCCCACACCUAUUUCUAAAGUAAUUCUCAAAUGCAGUGUCAGUCAUGAAUUGAAAGACUCAUUGUAAGAGACUAAGAAGCUAAAACAAAAGAAUGUCUCAAAAACUCAGCAGAAAAGGGUGAUACGGUCAGAAAAGAUGAUCCUGCUAGGGCUGGAUAGUGCUUUUCUGAGGCCAACAUCCUUAUCCUGGGUAACCUUCUGAGAUACCUUCUGGCAUCUGAGGUUGUUGCAGCUGUGGUCGGAAAUGUAUUAGCAAUCUCUCCUCCCUACCCCCCCAAUUCUGCCUUCCCCUCAAGAAGGUUCUGGGUCACAGGAUGCCCAUAUUACCAUACAAAGCAGGAUCUGGAGGUGGGGACUAGCUGUAAUUAGGAUACAAAGUGAGAACUGGAGCUGGGUCCAGCAUAUAAAUAGGGUGUCUCAGAAGGGCUUUGUGUGCACCCACCACCAUCGCAGACAGAACAGGAACUGGACCAGAGACAUCGCUGGAACCCAGGGUGGCUGUCAUCUGACUUCUACAGCAAGAAAUCCAA